GACGAAUCAAUUAAUUCGUUCGUUCAUUGCCAAUUAUUCCUUAACGAGUGGAGUUAGUAGGAAUUUGCGUAAGAGUUCUUGUGUAUCUGACAACUAUAGUUACAUACCAAUAAGAAAACGUAUUGUUACAACGUUUCCCCUCCACAUUGCUACUUACUCCUACCACAACGCACUGUCUGAAGUUGAGCGUUCAGUACAUUAAGACAGGGGACAGACAUCAGAUGCCAGCGACUAGACGCUGAGCUAUUCAACGCGUCGGAAAAAGGUUGAGUUGUGUCCGAGUUCGUAUGUAUUGGAUGUAGCGAUGUUCAGCAAAGGUCGUCUGCAUUCAAGUAGCUCGUUUGGUCGUCGAAAGCAUCUCGAGUUCGAGGCCCGGUUCCUAAGGGCUACUGAUAAUCAUGCCGCCGCACGUACAGCCCGGUUCCACGUGAAUAAAGAAACGAACAACUUUUUCGAAUGGUCUAGUUUCCGCAACUUUUUCCAAACAAUGCACCGACAAUUGAAUAAAAAUUAACGAGCUUCUCGAGUAUACUUAGGAAAUAUACUAAUUAGAUAAGUAUUGAUAAUUACGUUUAUCGAACGUCGAGAAGUAUCGAUCUCAGAUCUGUAAUUAAAUCUGAUCGAUUAGAAAAUACUACGACGAUUUAAGGAGUCCCACAGGAAAGAAGAGGCAACCUGAUGUUCCAUGUAAACCAAGAAAUUGUUAAAAAAUGAAAUUGUUAAUCGAGUAUGUAAAAAUUGCAUUUAUUGAAUACUGAUACUUAUGUUAAGAAUAAUCAGUUAGGACACUGGAAAAUACAUACGAUGAUGUAAGGAGCCGUACGGGAAGAAGGGACGACCAAGGGUUGUUCCAUACAAAUCACGAAAUUGUCAAAAAUAAUCGGAAGUAUACUAUUUUCUUAAGGAGCCGUGGGGUGUGUUUCACAUCGACAUUCGAGCCAGGGCGCGGCGUUUCGUGCCAGCUUCCGGAAAGCGAUAUAAAAGAGGAAAGCGAAGCGACGACGUUAAAAAGGAUCACCGAGCCUUGCUCGAGAGAGGGACCUGGCAUUUUAAUAAAUUGAAAUUCAACUGCGAACCGAAGGCGGAAAGCGUGCUGCCGUGACCCAGGAGGGACCAAAGGGAUCGGCAACUGUAGAUUAAACAGCUUCUGGUAAACGAUGGGAGCAUGAAAAAUAAAUCUUCGCCGGCCGACUCAAAUAAUAUUAAUUUGGACUGCUCGCUUUUCCUGAAAUUCAAUUGUUUCGAUUGGCAGAAAAAGGUAAAAAAUUGUACGGUUGUAAUCUUAUUUUGAAAAAUGAACGACUCGAGGGAACUAACACAACAGUAGAUGGGAACUAGUCUUCGCCAGUUAGCUCUGAAAAUGAAGUCGAUUCUACGGGUGCCCUGAUGAAGCUAACGAUGUUAGGGAAUGGUCUGUUAUAAACCUACACUCAACAGAGGCAUUAUCUAGAGUGCAGCGUUUCUUUUUGUAAUUAAUAGUUAGAGAGGAAGCAGGACCUUUCCUGAGGUGAGGUAAAAACCCCUCAUACGUGUCUCCCAAUGUGAAAGAAAUUAUGAAAUAUUUUAAACAUUAUGAUUAUUAUUUUAUGAUUCUGUCAAUGACUAUUGGAUUAUUGUGAAUGAUUCAUAGAAGUAAUGAAAUUAUUCUGAGAUGUUAGAUAUUAAACAUGCACAAUAAUUAACGAAGGAACUAUUUGAUAUUUAAUUACGAAUCGCAUUCGGUUCGUACGCUUAUGUUAAUAUUAGAGAACUGUGAACGCUUAUUUAGAGAGUCUGCUUCAUCUUUCUAUUUGAGAGAAUCUUACAAUGUUAGUGAUCAACAUUCUGACAGUGUGUCUCGUGUAAAUUUCUCAAAGCGAGCCGUACCGCGCUGAUUUCACACCGAUAAAUAAUACUGUUGAUUACACGAAAGACGGUAGACUCGGUAGUAGUAGCGAGGUGAAGUUCCAUGGAGAGAAUUCGAUAUGCACAAAUCUGCCUUUGAAUUCACCCGGAUCCGGAUAACUCUCUUUGGCCUCGGAGAGUUCUGCGUGCAUUAAUGGAAACGCCAAGAAUUCCUACGCGAAACUCCAAGAAUUCUUCCAAUCUCCUCGCAGAAACACUCGUCUCUUUCUCAUUCAAAGAAAUUUAAAAAAGACGACUUCAAAUCGCGUAGUUUCCCUUUAAGUAAUUGAAUGAAUAUCAGACACGAUCGGAACGUAUUAUACAUUUUUUCGAUGACUACAGAGGAGUAACGGUCGCGCUCGAUAAUUAAUUCCUGCAAGAAUCGUAUAAUGUAAUUGUUCUCGCUAGCAUUUUUCAGUGUUCAUGUUUCUUCGUCCAGAUAUUAUUUGUUCUUGUUCGUAUAUCAACGUUGCGCGAUUGUUAUUCCUAGCGGUAAUCAGUGGAGAAAAAGGGCAACGAAUUUUGUAAUCCGACAAGGGAUUCUAAUUUUGACCGUACAAAUAACUUUCCGCCGGCAAAUGGAAUAAUGAGUGCCGCGGUUUCGUACAGUAAAAGCGGGGACCGGCUACCCUGGUCGUUGUUUGCACGCGUAUAGGUGUGCAUGUGGACACACGUACAGGCACUCGUACAAACGCGUGUAUAAGCAAUUUGCCGACUCAUGUAAAUGUUUCAAACUGAUAUUACGUUAGGUCCGCAAUCUGCAGAUAGGGAUAAAUGAAGCGCCGUUGCUUUUUUUCGAGCAGAGACCGUUGCACGGAUCCGCGAUUGCAAUAGCUUGCAACACCAAAUGCGAUUCAUUGUUUAUUUUCAAUAUUUUUCUACAAAUCCUCGUAUUUUAUUUUAAUUCAUUAGAGAAUAGACUGCAUUGCAUGAUUUCUCGCAUGAAACUGAAGAUAAAUAGAAUGUAAAAACGUGUGUUUUUCCUGCAUUUCACAUAAACAAACGAAACGAAAUAAUUCGAUACGUGUAAGUCGUAAAUUGCGUCAAUGCGAAUCCGUCAUUGUGGAAAUAAACGAUUUUCAAAUGUUUCAACUGUAACGGAUCGAAAUUACGUUUUCCAUCGGAUCUGACUAAGCAAACACCGCGUUCACGUCGGAUACAUUUUAAAUCGCUUGUUAAAUUAUUGUAAAAUAUCCAGGCACGUAUUUUGUCAAUAUUUGAAAGGCAGGAGGGAGUAUCGAGUGGGCAGGGAACGUGUGCUAAUUAUUAACACGGCCCUAAUUUUUUAAUUGGAACCUUGCAAAUGAACUCUGGUAUCGGACAUUAUUGUUUAACCAUUUUAACGGUUUAAAUCUUUGACGAUAGUUCACAACGGACGGUCGAUAUUUGCGCACUCGCGGCGGAUUAAACGUAUCCGCGUUCACGGUAGCUUGGCCCGAAUUGAUUUGAUCGAAAGUAUAUUACAAACCGAUUGUUCGAUGAACAGUCGCCCCGUUACCCGCGUUAAUAAAAUUCUUACGCUGA